GGUUUUCGCAGAGAGUGAGGUAAAGCUUCUUCUUGGAGGAGGAGAAGGUGGAGGAGGAGGAGGAGUGAGAUAGGAUCAGUGGCGGAUCUACAGAGGGACCUGGGAGGUCCCAGAACCCUUCGGCGACCCUAAAUCGCUGCUAGAAAAUUUUCGGGGACCCCUCGUACUCGAACACAAGGUCUGUGCAAUGUGUUUUGUAAUUUCUGGGUUGGUAGGUUCUGUUCUUGCGAGAGGAAGAAGAUGAUUAAAUGAGUUUCUCUCUCAUCCUUUCAUUCCCACGUGACCACCCUCAAACUUUCCCAUUUUAUUGAUUUUUUAAUUGGUCCAAUCACAUUCCGAUAGCUAGCAUCAACUUGAUCUUUCCAAAAUAUGAAAAUGGGUUGUCGGUCCCUAGGUGUAUAUUUUUGUUAAUUGGUGUGGCUCCCCUCCUUACGCGUCUAGUGCUUCAUUUUGCUUUCUACACCCACAUAUUUAACACACUUAUAUUUAUCUUAAAAUUCAAUAUAAAUCAAUAUGAUCUUUAAAAAUAUUAUGUAAAUUACUAUGAACUUGUAAUUAUUUGAACUUUUAUCUUAUACCUUAAAUUCACCAAAAUACUAGGUAUAUAAUAAAUUUAUUUAAAUUCACUUAGACCGCGCACGGAGAAGAAAGAAAAUAGGACCCUUUUUAACAAUUGGUAUAUUUUUUCUAUUUUUUUUUUGUUAAAUGUGUAGUUUAGAAAUAAAAAAAUGUGGAGAGAUUUUUCAAGUCAAAGCUGAUAGCACCAUCUAUUUGGUCAUUGAGAAAGAUGGUUGAGUGAUGUUUUUUCAUGUAUUGGUAAUGAAGCUAUCAUAGAAUAUUUUCAGACUAUGAAACCCCGUCGUGGACGCUCAAAUUAGGAUUUUAUAGCUUGUAAUGUUGUUUUGCGUAUGAUUUUUGAAUGAAAUGUAUUAUAUUUAACUUUUCAAUGUUAAUUUUGUCUAUAAAUGUUUUUACCUUUAUUAAUGGGACCCCCCAAACUUAAAAUCCUGGAUCCGCCACUGCCCGUGGGUAUCCCUCUUCAUGGCCCUUCCUUGCUUUGUUCAGCCAUGGUUUCUGUUGAGUUCGUGUGUAGAGUUCUGGUGUUAUAUCUGGCUCAGGUGUCUCCCACACCACCACGAUCUCCUUGUUGUCUGCCGUUCUCGGCGGUGUUGUUCGGGAUUUUCCCGGAGCUUCUUUCUGAUGGUUGGCUUCUCUCUCGCCGACUAUCUCUUGUUAAUGGUUAUGUGCAGGUGGCGCCUGUGGAGGUGAUGAUCAGCGGUGGAUGGAGGAUUGGAUGGCUGGCUGAUUCUCGGGUCGAUGGUGGAGAGCACAGUGGAUGGUUCUCGGUUGUUUGUUUGGGCUUCACUGUUGUUGGGCUCAUUUUCUUUGUUUUCUUUGUUUUUAGGCCCGUUCUUUAUUUGUUUGUAGGAAUAAUUGGACCUUUGUGUGGUUUGUAAGUGUGUGUUUGUUUUAAUAAAAGUUCCUCGCAACUUAAAAAAAAAAAAAAAAAACAGAAUCUUAAUUAGAAUAUGGAUGAAAAUUAUUAACAGACCUGGAUUCAGGCAGACGAAUCCAUUCCCAAUAUUGAGGAGUAUCGCCCCAAGUAAUCUUAAGCUUCCUUGCAGAUAUCAUAUAGCCCUUUUUCCCACUCCAUUUGUCCACUGAAAAGCUCUGCAAUUAAUAUUGAAUAUGCAUGACAUCAAUUAUAAUUAAAUACAUGAAUAAAAAUUAAUCACAAUAAGUUAAUAACAAAAACGAAGGCAUAUAGUUAAUAUGACGUUACCAUCUUCCCCUAAUCGAUGAGGACCGGGUUGUCACAUAGAGAGAGAGAGAAAAAGCUCCUUCUUGGAUUUCCAACUGGAAGAAGAAGAAGAGCAAGUCGGGACUGGGAGGGAGGAGGGAGACUGAGGUUGUACGGAGCACUUGCCGAGGAUCGUGUAGACAUCAGGCGGAAGGAACCUGUCCCAAACGGCGUCCAAAUCAGCGGCCGACCGGAAACCCCUAGACACCGCUGAAAGCCUGCACGCGUCAGGAGGCGUCGUUAAGGAGGCCACGGUGGCUUUGCAUCCUUCUGGCAACGCCACCAGAUCCAUCGCCGGCGUUCCUGUAGUUUGUCUUUGUAUAUUGUAUUGCGUUUUGGUGUUUGUAAACUUGUGUAAUAUUGUUUGGGCACAAAUUUACACCAUCAAAGUGAGCAUAACUUUCAACUGUUGGAUAGAAAAGUAAAGAUAGUUUUGUUGUUGUUAAAAGAUAAUAUUAUGGUUUUUAUCAUAAUAAUUAUCUUUUAACUAUCUUGACAAAUGCGAAUUAUAUCUCUAAGCAAGGGGUACAGUUCAAAUUAAGUUGGGAUGUGUGUGGACGUGUGGAGUAGUCAAAGUAAAGUGAUGUGAUGGGAUCAAGGUGCCAGCCAUGAUUUUUUAUGCAUGCAUGUGAUGAUUUCAUUAAAUGCCGUGCAAAAGUUGGAAAUGGUUUGGAUGGAUAAAGAUGGCAUGAAAAAGGGUUUAUUUUGAUGGUCUCGACGUGGAAAGCAAAUGACCACCAAAUGGCAUGUAUCCUUGGAUUUUGGCAGGUUUUUUACCGAGUCUUGUGGAAGUGAAUGGCUAGGCUUGCAUGUUAAUUAUCAGCAUGCUUUGGUUCCAGAGCCGUGGAGGUCAUUAUGCAUGUUAAUUAUUUGCAUAAAAUAAGGAGAUAAUGAUAACAUCUAAAAGAAAGGCUGUUGCUUACCUUGAGAAGUGUUUGACUGGGACUCUGGUUGAUGAGUGUGAAUUGAAAUCAAAUCCUACACUAGUGUGAAGCCGCACCACACAUUUGCGUCUAUAAAUACAAGGUUGCGAACACCAUUGAAGCCCCUCUAAUUCAACACACAAUUGCCCUGUGCAAACUUUCUCAACAACCUUGAGAUUUUUACUUUUUCCUUUUCGCCGACACAUCUUUCGUUGGUAUCAAUAGCACUGUGAAGGCAACCAGUGAUAUCCUCAGUCGACAUAAGAUAGCUCUGUCACCGUAGAAUCAGCUAAUCUCGCAGCAUCUUCCGUUGGUAUCAACAGCACUGCGGCGAGGACAGUUGGUUACCUAUCCAAGUCUCGGUCGAGAAGGAUUUCCGAAUCCUUGUUGGUCGAGGUCAUCUCAUUAGCCUUCUCAGCGAAGUGAGGUGUUACAGUUUACCGAGCUCGGCGCAUUGCACGCCGAGUUAUUUUAUGAUUGGAUACUCUCAAGUGGGAUUUAGAGUUCGGCAUUCUGACAGUCGAACCACGUUCACCAUUAAGACUUAUAUCCACUUUGAGUAUUUGUGCCCUUACACUUUGGUGUCGAUUCGGCGUGGGUUUACUCUGACAAAUACCAUCACUGUGACCGAGUUCGACGACGACGAUUCGUGAACUUCAUGAGAAUAGCAACCUUGUCUUCAGGCUGCAUAAGUCAGUAGCGCGACCCAAUGCAACAUUAGCAAAUUUUACUUCUCGGCCGAGCUCGGCCGACGAGUUGGCACGCCCCGCACACAACCGAAUGACGUAGUUAGCUCAUAGAUUACUCGGCCUGCGCGCCACGUACGUAGGCUUGGUAGUUUUUAGGGUCAACAAAUAUAUGCAUGGAUUUCCUAGAUGAAGUCUUAGGGGUUAAGUUUAGGGUUGUUUUAUAACGCAUCAAGGUAUAUGGUAUGCACCAGGUUUAUAGAAACGUUAAAUUCGUUGGGUUCUUGGACCAAAUACAAAAAGAAAAGAUCUUGACCUAUUCUCUGGGGAUGCAUAAAAAUAUAGAAUGGUUUUAAAUUUUGAGUAUCAGCCUAAUUAUUUCUCUUAGAUUAGUAAUACAUUAUUCAGCCUAUAUUCAAUGCACAUAUAAAAGGUUAUUUUUUCGAAAGACCUAUUUGUCGAUUUAUCCUCCGAACUUGUAUACACCUACCAAUUUCCCUUAUGAAUUUUAAUUUAGCUGAUUAUACCUGAACUUUUAUAAAUAGAUUUUGAAAAUUUUCAACUAAUCUUCCAUUCAUCUUGAUCACGCGAACAUCACAUGGCAAAUAUAUGAUGGGGAAAGGAUAAUUUUGUUUUGGUAAAUUGGGCACAAAGUUAGUACUUUGCCGUUGCAAAUUAGAUUCCUAUGGCUAAUUCAAACAUAAAGUAUACGGAGUCAACUAGCAAAAGAGAACAUUAGGGUAAUAUUACUUGAUUACCCUUAAACAUUUUUCAUCAGACUAAAAUGGGUAGGAAAUUGAAUGAAUUUUUUAAAAUCUAAUGUCAGAAAGGAAAUUGACUAAUUAUAAAAGUUUAGAAGGGUAAUCAACUAAAAUUAAAAUUUAGAGAGAAAAUUAGCAACUGCUUAAAGUUCUAGGAGAAAAUCGACAGAUAACUCUUUUCAAAAAAAGAGAAAAGGUUAUUGGGUUUCCUUUUUCCUUUUCAUUUCAAAUUUUUUACUUUAAUAAAUCAUCAGUACUAUCUAGUAUCUAGUAUAUAUUCUUUUAAGUUAGAAAUCUCAAAUUCAACUUAUCUUGUUAACAAAUUUAAUGUAAUAACACCGACGGUGAUAGACCCACGUUAGGAUAAAAAGUGGCCAUUCCCUCCCCUCCAAGGGCCCAUGCAAUAUUUCUAGCCAAAUACCUCCAUUACCCACCACCCCCCACAAAAAAGGGAAAGAAAAAAGAAGAAAAGAAAUCAGUCUAAUUGGUUCCAAAUCGAGCACUUAAACUCGGUUUGAUUUGCGACGCCACGCCAGAUGACCUUGUGCACCAUGAACUUGGCCUAGAAGAGAAUGCACGUAUUCUUAGGUGAAAAAACUAUACGUGUGAUAACACAUCUCCCAAUCUCUCCAUUCAUCAAAUAAGUUUAUAACGUUUUACAACAAGUAUUCAAAGGUGAAGGGAAUCAUUAAAUAAUUAUUCAAGAGGACUGUAAUCACCGUUGAUGAUCAGGGUUCAACCCAUGUCAAAGUUAAAGAAUCAAAAGGGUGCGGUUGUCGCGGUGUGACCAGAGAAAUUGGUGUCCGGUAAGAGACAGAGAAGCAAGACUACACUUUGGCAAUCAAGUACAAGAGCUCCGAGGAAGAAGCCAUCUCAUUUGGUGCAAUUGUUUGGGAAGAAGAGAGUGAAAAUUUUACUAUGAGGAGCCCUAUUGUGAUCUCGGGUAGCCCUAUUGUGAUCGUUGUGUAAGAACACGUUAGCUGGCAUUUCGGGAAGUUUGGUACGACUUCAAUUCAAUCCAUGUAGUUCAAAGAUGAGCAAUUGCAACCAUUUUAUCAACAAAAUUAUAAUACAAUGAGCCUUUUUGUUUCUCUUACUAGUAAUUUUCCUAAUAUGUAACAUCGACAAUGCACCUAUUACAUGUAAGUCCUUAGAAAAAGUUCAACUUUCUACACUCUUUUGGGCCUGACUUCAAUCCCUUGAACAAUAAGGCCUCUCUUCAUUCUAUGAAUGUCAAAAUCCCUACAUGUCAUCUCCAUUAACCCCCCAUUUUCUUCUCCUGGACAGAAGAACUCUCCAAUCUCCACCUCCAGCCAGCCGUCAGGCCUUUUCUUUCGGCUCCUUUCUUGGCCCAGAAACACAGUGCGCUUACUACUAGUCUCUUCUUUCCCAAAAAGUCCUAUCUUGACCUCCGAGGGAUCGUCACGAUCAAAUCCUCUAGCCCUUUCACUUAACAUGAACACAAGAUAAGCUUUGUAGACAGUGGAGGGGGAAAGAAUCCGUGUAUCAAUUUUGCCACGGAUGUCAAGCCACCAAACAACUACAAGCGCAGCCACCUCCUCAAACCUGUUUCAUUUAACAUGACACAUACUAAUUAAUUGCCUAAUUACACACAUACACACAUAUUUCAAUCUAUAUAUAUACAUCGCUAAAACAAAUCCAACCGCAGAAUAAGCACGAUAUGGAAAUGCAUUCUCAACAUCUUAAAAGCGUAGCUGUUAGCUUAAUCAAACCAACAAAACGUAAGAUGAAUGAAGAAGUUUACAGACCUGGAGUUGGCAAGAGAAAUCCAUUUCCAGUACUCAGGAUUAUCACCCCAAAUAAUAAUAAGGUCCUUCGGCGAUAUCAUGUAACAUUUUUUCCCACUCCAUUUGUCCAGAGUAAAACUCUGCAUAUAUAGAACAUGGAAACUGAUUGAGAAAGGUUACAAAAACUUAUUCUGGCUAGUUUUUCAUGCAUUAGUUCCAGCAGGCACCAUCUCAAAGUCGAAAGUCAUAUUUUCAUAUUAAUAUAUGAUGCUGUAUUCAAUUGAGAAUUUGAGAGACUUUAAAUUGAUUUUUAUAGAGUUUAAUUGAUUUAUAGAGAUUUCAUAGAAAAUUUUGAUUCAAUUUCCUCGAAAUCUCAUGGAGAGAGAUUAGAUUUGUGGAUGCUUAUAAUAUACUACAAAAUCUCUCCAAUUCCCUUUAAUUCCUCAAAUUUCUCAAAUUAUUUAAUAUCAAUUUCUAAUUGAAUACAAUGUUAUAAACUUUUUUAAAAUCAUAAUUGAAUACACUCAGAUUUAUAAAGAUUUUAAUAAAUUAUCUUAAAAUUCUAAUUGAAUACCCUUGAAUUAAAAUACUGAUUGAUUACCUAGAUUCAUUAAAAGAAUUAAAAUCCCUCAAACUCUGAAUUGAAUACACGCCCCAAAACUUUAUCAGAAAGUAGAGAGAAACAAAUAAAAUCUUCAAAUAUAUUCAUGUUUCAAAUUUUGGGAGCUAUCCCUAAUCCCACCACAAAAGCGAAAAAGAAUGUAUAAAAUUACCAUUUUUCCGUCGUCAACGAGGACAGGGUUUUCGCAGAGAGUGAGGUAAAGCUUCUUCUUGGAGGAGGAGAAGGUGGAGGAGGAGGAGGAGGAGUGAGAUAGGAUGGAGGGGAUAUCAGGGGGAAGGAACUUGUCCCAAACAGCGUCGGAAUCAGCAGCCGACAUGAAACUCUUAGACACCGCCGAAAACCUGCACGCGUCUCGAGGCGUCGUUAAGGAGACGACGUUAGCUAUGCAUCCUUCGGGCAACUCUUGCAGAUCCAUGUGAACGUGAUGGUGAUCGUCAUCGAGUACCAUCGACACCGGCGUCCCGCAGCCCCCGCUG
rnacentral:lncRNA from 1 species